AGUCCUUCCUACAGCUCUGAAACAGAGGUAGGAAGAUUCAGGCUAAAUAUAGACCAGGAGCAGUCGCCCUGCAUUUAACCUCAUUAUGUUAAUCUACUAGACAAUUUAAAACAGCCAGUUACUAUCUACAAGGCAGGUGUUGAAUUCUUUGCACAGAACUUCUAUUUAGUUUUAUGGCAUGGCUGAGGGAGGCAGGAAGACAGAAAGGAAAGUUACUUUUACCUGAGAUUUUGGAGUUUAGCACUGUCUCCUGGGACAGAGGAAUAGAAGGCAAGGAGCACCAGUUCUGGUAUGGUCCUAUCCUAGGCAAGCACUUCAAAUAAUACUUCUGUAAGCAUGUCUAGAUCCCUUUAAAACGAGUUUGAGUCCCGUAUGGAAAAAAAAACCUUACAGAAUUCUCUCCUUUGAGAGCUAUAAACUGUCUUCCAAGCUGAAUUUAUCCUUGGCUGGAGUAAAGCCAUUUGUUCCUCAGCCAGACUUGUUCACCAGCUUUAUCGGCUCAGUGGUUCCCGAGGCAUGGUCACCUCCUGUGGAAAGCAGCUGAGAGAAGGAAGGAAUUUCUUUUAAAGGUGUUACUGAAGGACUUGAUUGAUUGCACUGGAAUUACAUAAAUGCUGUACUCCUCCACGAGGCAUGAAAACUCUUCAGGAGUGCCCCACAUCCCAACAGCUAAAAGCUGGUUCCACAGACAAAAAUGCAAAGACUAAGGCAGUUGUUCCUGUAUACUCUGCAAGCGUUGAACCAUCUAUCUCAGCUUAAUGAUUUGGAGCUUGACAUGUCUGAACAUCCUUAUCCUUUGGAAACUGUUCAGGUCUCUUUUCAUCAGCCUGCUCCUUUAUAAAAACUGUUUCAGUAGAUGAAAACCUCAAGUGCUGUGUGACAAGGGGCGUCAUCUAUCUGACAUAGGACAGCUCAAAUUUUAAAUGCUUAGCCCAUAUCUAAUAAGCAUUAAUGAAAUAGCACAAGUCCUAAUCUGUUCUUCAGAUAAUCACACAUUCCUUCAAUACCCAGCACUGAGUUGAAUCCAUUCAUUAGCAGCCAUACCAAAGCAUAAUAUAGACUGUGUGGGGACAAAAUGAGUUCCACUGUAAGAACUUCAGCAACAGUUGCGGUGCAGGGAGAGGUUGGCACAUGGUAUUUAGGUAGGACACAAAUACCUCUGGGUUGGUUUGUGGUUUUGUUUGCUUCUCUGUUUUUUUUUGUUUGUCACAUGAAAGCCUUUGUGAGGAAGAACAACUGUCAGAAUCCCCUCAAUUGAAGAUGGUUCUAUUUUUAACUGUUGAAGUUACAUUUUAGACUGCUGCUAUUUUGACUAACUGCUACUUAGCACUGACACAGUCAGUCCUGAGGUCAUGCUACAGAUCAAAGAUGGUAUUGCAAAUUGGAGGAACUAGAUAACAAGAUGGGUAGAAACCAUGGGAGGAUCAUGUCUUCACACAUCUCUAAUUAUGGAUGUCACAAAUAUAAACCUAAUGUUAUGUUCUCUCAGGAUGGAACCACAAACUUUAUCCAGUUCUGAAUUCCUUCAUUAAGAAUACCUAUUCAAGAGACCAAUCUCACUUUGCAGACAACAUUUAUUAUUUUUUUGGUGACAUUAGUGGACUUAGUGUGGCAGCUGUAACCACUGGGUACGUGGAAAAAUCAAUCAAUUGGCCAAAAUCUACUGAAGCAUUCAUACCAUGCAUUACCAAUGCAGUAACAUGGAUAUUCAUCAACCCCAGUGCACUGUUUUGUCCUAGAGAUGGAGUCUGCUUACUUAGUGAAAUAAGGGAACUCAAGGAGUCAAUACUGCAAUGAUACGGCUAAUAAUUCUCAGUGAGCAUGGCACAAAGCACACCAAUAUUUACAUCUCUAGACUAAUGUAAUUAAUUAGCUUCAGGUUCUCUCUUAACAAUCUCCCAUCUCUGGCAGCUGUUGAAAAUACCUUGUCCUUCUAGGCACCUGGAAGACUUAUACCAUGUGAAGAUUUUAGCUGUCUCUACAGUCACCAGCCUUAGAUAAAAGAUUUACAAUGACCUCUCAAUACACUGUAACUGAUAUUAGAAUAGUUUCACAAAAUAUAUUGGCUUAUUUAAAAAUAUGACUAAUAUGUAACUAAAGACAUUGUCCUC
rnacentral:lncRNA from 1 species